UACGUAGGGCGCGAGCGUUGUCCGGAUUUAUUGGGCGUAAAGAGCUCGUAGGCGGCUUGUCGCGUCGUCCGUGAAAACCCGGGGCUCAACUCCGGGCUUGCGGGCGAUACGGGCAGGCUAGAGUUCGGUAGGGGAGACUGGAAUUCCAGGUGUAGCGGUGAAAUGCGUAGAUAUCUGGAGGAACACCGGUGGCGAAGGCGGCAUCCUGGACCGAUACUGACGCUGAGGAGCGAAAGCCAGGGGAGCAAACGGG
rnacentral:rRNA from 1 species